rnacentral:lncRNA from 1 species
UCCUUGUACUAUCCUAUUACUGCAUAGAUAAUAAUAUUACAUCAAAUAAGUAUAAUCUUUAAAAAAAAAAAAGUAAAAAAAAUGUAAAAAAAUAAACAUAAUUGAAACUAUUACAUAUGUAUACAUGUAUAUACAUAUAUUAUGUAAAAUAUCCUUAUGUCUGUCUUCUUUUCUUUUUUUUUUUUUUAAUAGAUUUAUAUACAUAGUCAAUAUAACCAUUAUUAUUUUGAAAGAAAUACUAAUUUACUCCGAGCAUCAUUCAUUUAAUAGUAAUUAAAAAAAAAGAAACUAAAAGAACAAAAAAAAAAAAAAUGAAUAGACGUAAAACUAGAAUAAAAUGAAUAAUAAAAAACAUAGGAAAAACUUUUUUUUUUUUUUUUUUUUUUUUUUUUACUAUUUAUAAACAAAACAAAAUAUAUUUGGCUAAUUCAUUUAUGUUUUUUACAGAUACCUUCAAAAAUGUAUUAGAUAGUGUAAUUAUUAUUGGAAUUAUAUGGAUAUUAUCUCCUGUACUUAUGAGUUUAACCCAAACAUACAGUAGUGACACAGUUUACUUAGUUUCUAUAUUGCUUUUACUGAUUCACCUUAUGUUCCACAAUUAUGGUUUUAUAUAUGAGAAGAAUGAAAAUAUAAAUAUAUUUGAUGCUACAUCUUUAAGUUGUGUUGUUAUUGCAAGUGUAAUAUUAGGUUCUCGCCUUGAGUCUGUUGAACAGGUAUAUAUAUAUCUUUAUUUGUGUGUGAAAAUUAAAGCAAUCAAAUAUAUAUAUUUUUGUUUAUUUUAUUUUAUUUUUUUUGUAUUACUAGUAGGUAUAGUAUAUAUUACUUAUUGUUGUAUUAAAAACAGGUAUCUUUUUUUUAUUCAUUUCGUUAUUUAUUUUAUUUUUUCUUUUAUUGUUUUAAAAUAUAGGUUUUCUCUUUUAUAUUUUUUUCAUCAGUGUAAGGCAAAAAAAAAAAAAAAAAAAAAGUCGAAUCUGCUAGGGUUCAAAUUUUAUCAUUUCCAUUCAUAUUAAUAAUUAUAAUUUAUAAUUAAACACUGUGAAAUAUUUUAUGCCGUUAUUUUAUUUUAUUUUUUCAGCCUUUUCUUUUAUUUUCCGUCCAUCGUUCAAACGAUAG